AUGCCAGCGAGGCCAUGCUGGGGAGGCUGGAGGCUCUGGAGGCCGAUGUUCGCUUCCUCUGCACCGAGCUGGGGGCUGAGAAGCUCCUGUGGAGCAGCCGGUUCCUGGAGCUGCUGCGGGAGCAGCAAAGCCUGCGCCAAAGGCUGCAGGAGCUGCCGUGGCACUGGAACGGUGGGGACAGCCCCGAGCUGCUGGGGGAGGCAGAGGAGCAAAGUGCCAGUGGGAGUGAGGGAGAGAGCCCAGAAGGACGCCAGUGGAUGGAGGCACCUCGGCAACCAUGUGGCUCCAUCCAGCCUGGUGGCAGAAAAAGCAAGUGAAGGUGUGAACAAGGCCUCAGCAGUUCAGGAAGGAUCCACACAUUCCUCCUGCCCAGGCCCUUCAGGACCCAGGCCAGGCUGCUGCUGUCCCAGCUGUAUCACUCCACCCCAGCCCAAUGCAGCAGAACUGCAGCCAUUUCCCAGGAGCAGGAACCAGCUGGAGGCAGGUCAGGACAAGCCACUCUCCCUGGGCCUGCCCCAGGACACAUCACAGCCCUCCCUGCCCAGGGCUGCCCCCGGGUUUCUGUGCCCCACAGGGGCUGGCUCUGAUGAAGCCCACAGAGGAGCAUCCCCCUGCUCUGCUGCUUGUCGGGACGUUCCAGGAACAAGGAGUCUGGUCAGCACUGGCUUCAUCAUCUUGCACUGGGGUGACAGAUUGCAAAACUCACCCACCGACUUCCUGACUGGCCACAUCCAUCCUCUCAUGAGCUGCUCCUGCACAUGUCGCAACCCUGGGCAGCUCCUUGAGACAGUGGCCAAGGGCAAGCAGCUCCCCAGGCAUGGCUGACAGCCCCUGGCAGGCCAGAACAGCUGGGGCUGGGAGCAGCAGCCCCACAGGGAGCUGAUCUGAGGGGUUGCCCCAUGCCCAGCCCUGGCCCAGCCCAGGGGCUGCACCCACUGUCAAUACAGGCAGCUGCUCUCCAUCUCUUGUGUCUGCCUGGUCUUUCCCAGCAGAGCUGGGACAGCCACACCCGGGCUCUUUGGGGCGGGGGGACAAGAUGAGCUCUUGCUGCAGCAGAGCAGGGACCGGGCUCCAGCAGCAGGCAGGAUGGGCAGGGAUCUGUUCUCCAAACAUGCCCAUGCAGCUCCCACGUGCAGGGAACUGAUGCAAUGGGAAUAGCAGCAGCCUGAGUCACCCUGCACCCACCCGGCCCCGGUGUGGUGGCGGUGGGACAGCCCCGUGCUGCUCAGAAAGAGCAAAGGAAACCAGGUCCUGCAAAGGAGCUGCUCUCAGGGCAGGAGUCCUGCUGCAGUGAAACCCCAGCCCCAUGCUGCACCCCCCCUUCCCUGCAGCAGCCACGGCAGCGUCCCUGCUGAGACCGUGGGAGCACCAGACAAUGAUGUCACAAGGUCCUGCUCCUGCUGUAGCCACCAUCCACC
rnacentral:lncRNA from 12 species